rnacentral:tRNA from 1 species
GGUAAGGUGGCCGAGCAGGUAGUGGGUUGUAGCCCCACUCACAGAGGUUUUAGUCCUCUUCUUAUCA